rnacentral:rRNA from 1 species
UACGUAGGGCGCAAGCGUUGUCCGGAUUUAUUGGGCGUAAAGAGCUCGUAGGCGGUCUGUCACGUCGGCUGUGAAAACCCGAGGCUCAACCUUGGGCCUGCAGUCGAUACGGGCAGACUAGAGUGCGGUAGGGGAGACUGGAAUUCCUGGUGUAGCGGUGAAAUGCGCAGAUAUCGGAAGGAACACCGGUGGCGAAAGCGGCGCGCUGGAUCUCUUCUGACGCUGAGGCGCGAAAGCCAGGGGAGCAAACGGG